CCUACGGGGGGCAGCAGUGGGGAAUAUUGCGCAAUGGGCGAAAGCCUGACGCAGCGACGCCGCGUGUGGGAUGACGGCCUUCGGGUUGUAAACCACUGUCGGGAGGGACGAAUGCGCCGCAAGGCGAGUGACGGUACCUCCAAAGGAAGCACCGGCUAACUCCGUGCCAGCAGCCGCGGUAAUACGGAGGGUGCGAGCGUUGUCCGGAAUCACUGGGCGUAAAGGGCGCGUAGGCGGCCUGGUAAGUAGGGGGUGAAAUCCUGCGGCUUAACCGCAGGGCUGCCUUCUAAACUGUCAGGCUCGAGCACAGUAGAGGCAGGUGGAAUUCCCGGUGUAGCGGUGGAAUGCGUAGAGAUCGGGAAGAACAUCAGUGGCGAAGGCGGCCUGCUGGGCUGUUGCUGACGCUGAGGCGCGACAGCGUGGGGAGCAAACAGGAUUAGA
rnacentral:rRNA from 1 species